CUGGGACCGCCACAGGGCCCUGGGACGGGCUGCCGUUGGGGGUAGUGCCGCUAGGGGAGAUGGAGGGGGUGAUCGGUAGGAACUGUUGAUCUGGCACAAGGUUCUGAUGUGGGAUGUGCUUCUGAACUGGGGUCAGGUCUGUGGUCGGGUAUGGGAUCAGACCUGAGGUCGGGGUCGGGUCCAGGGUCAGGUUUGUAGUCAGACCUGAGGUCGGAGUCCGGUCCAGCAGGGUCAGCUCUGUGGUCGUGGUAAGGUCUGUGGUCAGGUCUGUGGUCACAGUAAGGUCUGUGGUCAGGUCUGUGGUCACAGUAAGGUCUGUGGUCAGGUCUGUGGUCAGGUCUGUGGUCACAGUAAGGUCUGUGGUCAGGUCUGUGGUCAGGUCGGUGGGUCAGGUCUGUGGUCACAGUAAGGUCUGUGGUCAGGUCUGUGGUCACAGUAAGGUCUGUGGUCAGCUCUGUGGUCAGGUCUGUGGUCAGGUCUGUGGUCGCGG
ensembl:lncRNA